rnacentral:rRNA from 1 species
UACGUAGGGUGCGAGCGUUAAUCGGAAUUACUGGGCGUAAAGUGUGCGCAGGCGGUUUCGCAAGUCAAGGGUGAAAGCCCCGGGCUUAACCUGGGAACUGCGCUUGAAACUACGGAACUCGAGUAUGGCAGAGGAAGGUGGAAUUCCACGUGUAGCGGUGAAAUGCGUAGAGAUGUGGAGGAACACCGAUGGCGAAGGCAGCCUUCUGGGCCAAUACUGACGCUCAUGCACGAAAGCGUGGGGAGCAAACAGG